rnacentral:rRNA from 1 species
UACGGGAGGCAGCAGUGGGGAAUAUUGCACAAUGGGCGAAAGCCUGAUGCAGCUAUGCCGCGUGUAUGAAGAAGGCCUUAGGGUUGUAAAGUACUUUCAUCGGGGAGGAAAAAACAAAACUAAUAAUUUUAUUUCUUGACGUUACCCGAAAAAGAAGCACCGGCUAACUCCGUGCCAGCAGCCGCGGUAAUACGGAGGGUGCUAGCGUUAAUCAGAAUUACUGGGCGUAAAGAGCACGUAGGUGGUUUUUUUAAGUCAGAUGUGAAAUCCCUGGGCUUAACCUAGGAACUGCAUUUUGAAACUGAAAUACUAGAGUAUCGUAGAGGGAGGUAGAAUUCUAGGUGUAGCGGUGAAAUGCGUAGAUAUCUGGAGGAAUACCUGUGGCGAAAGCGGCCUCCUAAACGAAUACUGACACUGAGGUGCGAAAAGCGUGGGGAGCAAAACAGGGAUUUAGAUACC